GGACUACUCGGGUAUCUAAUCCUGUUUGCUCCCCACGCUUUCGCACCUCAGCGUCAGAAAUGAGCCAGUUGGCCGCCUUCGCCACUGGUGUUCUUCCUAAUAUCUACGAAUUUCACCUCUACACUAGGAAUUCCACCAACCUCUCUCAUCCUCAAGACUUGCUGUAUCGGAGGCAGUUCCGAGGUUGAGCCUCGGGAUUUCACCCCUGACUGGCAAAUCCGCCUACGUGCGCUUUACGCCCAGUAAUUCCGAACAACGCUAGCUCCCUUCGUAUUACCGCGGCUGCUGGCAC
rnacentral:rRNA from 1 species